rnacentral:rRNA from 1 species
UACGAAGGGGGCUAGCGUUGUUCGGAAUCACUGGGCGUAAAGCGCACGUAGGCGGAUCUUUAAGUCAGGGGUGAAAUCCCGAGGCUCAACCUCGGAACUGCCUUUGAUACUGGCGACCUUGAGUCCGGGAGAGGUGAGUGGAACUGCGAGUGUAGAGGUGAAAUUCGUAGAUAUUCGCAAGAACACCAGUGGCGAAGGCGGCUCACUGGCCCGGUACUGACGCUGAGGUGCGAAAGCGUGGGGAGCAAACAGGG